rnacentral:tRNA from 1 species
AUUUAAAUAGCUUAAAUUUUAGAGUAUAAUAUUGAAGAUAUUAGGGUAAGUAAAACUUUUUAAAUA